rnacentral:rRNA from 1 species
UAGGGAAUAUUCCACAAUGGGCGAAAGCCUGAUGGAGCAAUGCCGCGUGAGUGAUGAAGGCCUUCGGGUCGUAAAGCUCUGUUGUAUAGGAAGAACACUUAGAGUAGGAAAUGGCUCUAAGCUGACGGUACUAUACCAGAAAGCCACGGCUAACUAUGUGCCAGCAGCCGCGGUAAGACAUAGGUGGCAAGCGUUAUCCGGAAUUACUGGGCGUAAAGGGCGCGUAGGCGAUUCGACAAGUCUGAAGUUAAAGACAAUGGCUCAACCAUUGGACUGCUUUGGAAACUGUCGGAAUAGAGUGUUGGAGAGGUAAAUGGAAUUUCUUAUGUAGCGGUGGAAUGCGUAGAUAUAAGAAGGAACACCAAUGGCGAAGGCAUUUUACUGGCCAAACACUGACGCUGAGGCGCGAAAGCGUGGGGAGCAAACA